CCCAUCAGCUUCCCCCAACUUGGUGGGGGUGUCCCCAGGCAGGGAAAAGCAGCAUUAUUUACCCCAUGCAGAAUCCUGCUCCAUGACAAGCCAAGGUUUGUUUGGCUCCCUCUGCUCUCCUUCCUGCUGAUGGGUGUUGAUCCUGCUCUGGGAUAAAACAGUUUUCCCAGUGACUUAGUGAGGCAUUGCCACCCUUGGAAAAGGAGGAGAAACUGUGAUGCAAACUUCUAGUAAACUGAUUUCCCUGUACAAGAACUGUAAUCCUGCACUCUUCAUGAACUGCAAAAUUACU